rnacentral:rRNA from 1 species
CCUACGGGGUGCUGCAGUGAGGAAUAUUGGUCAAUGGGCGAGAGCCUGAACCAGCCAAGUAGCGUGAAGGAUGACUGCCCUAUGGGUUGUAAACUUCUUUUAUAUGGGAAUAAAACGUUCCACGUGUGGGAUUUUGUAUGUACCCUAUGAAUAAGGAUCGGCUAACUCCGUGCCAGCAGCCGCGGUAAUCCGGAGGAUCCGAGCGUUUUCCGGAUUUAUUGGGUUUAAAGGGAGCGUCGGUGGAUUGUUAAGUCAGUUGUGAAAGUUUGCGGCUCAACCGUAAAAUUGCAGUUGAAACUGGAAGUCUUGAGUACAGUAGAGGUGGGCGGAAUUCGUGGUGUAGCGGUGAAAUGCUUAGAUAUCACGAAGAACUCCGAUUGCGAAGGCAGCUCACUGGACUGCAACUGACACUGAGGCUCGAAAGUGUGGGUAUCAAACAGGAUUAGAUACCCUUGUAGUC